CUUUUCAUAUUGUAAACGUGCUUUUUUUCUAUUUUCAUAUGGUUGUAUUUAUUACUUUUUUACUUUUUAAUGGAAUAUGAGCCACAGUUAGGAAAGUUUUCCCCACUCCUAUGCUAUACAACAAUUAUUUGGUGUUUUUUAAAGUAUUUGCAUGGUUUUAAUUUUUAUAUUUAAUCUCUGAUCCAUGCAUGAUUUAAUUCUGUAUGAUGUGAGAAACAUAUGGUUAUCCAAUUUUUUUCAACAUUAUUUAUUGUUUUCUUUCUUUUUUUUUUUUGAUACAGACUCUUGCUUUGUUAUCUAGGCUUGAAUGCAGUGGCUCCAUCUUGGCUCACUGCAACCUCUGCCUCCUGGGCUCAAGUGAUCCUCCCACCUCAGCUUCUCAAGUAGCUGGGACUGCAGGCAUGUGCCACCACACAUGGCUAACUUUUGUAUUUUUUUGUAGAGUUGGGGUCUCGCUAUGUUGCCCAGGCUGGUCCCAAAUUCCUGAUCUCAAUCGAACCGCUUGCCUUGGCCUCCCAAAGUACUGGGAUUUCAGGUGUGAGCCACCAUGCCUGGCCUCCAACAUUAUUAAAACCUCAAUCUUUCCACACUGAUUUGAGAUGGUGAUUUUGUUAGUAGUAAAUUUAAAAGGAGAAACUAAAAUGUAGUAAAAUAACAAAGACAUACAAUUUAGGAAGAAAUGCCAAAUUGAGAGAGCAGACUUCUCAACAGCAACAGGAGAUACAAGAAAAUGGAUAAAUAAUACUUUUGAACUGCUGAGAGAAAUAAAUUUUCAACUUAAAAAAUUUUACCCAGCUAAUUAAAUACUCAAGAGUAAGGGAUAAAUACACACAUAGUUGGACAAAUAAAAACACUCACAAAUGAAGCACAUCAUAAAAAAACAAAUAAAACUAACAAAGAAGCCCAAAAAUUCAGAGAAAUGUUGAAAGAAAAAAUCAAAAUCAUGUGAAUUAAAAAGCAUUGUGUGGGUGUAGAACAAUAAUGAUAAUUAAUAUAAAAAUAAAAAGAAGGUAGAAUUAAUACACUAAAAUAAAAAUAACUUGUAUGAGAGAUGCAUACAACUAAGUUCCAUAUACUAUGAGAGAUGUGUACAACUAAGUUCCAUAUACUAUUAGGGAAAAAGUUAAAUGAUUAAUUAAUUUUAGGCUUUUAAAAGUUGAUAUGUUGAAACUUUAAAAAUACCGAAUUUUAAAGAACUAAAUAAUGGAAAGAACUAAGUAAUGGAAAUAUGCCAAUAAAUGAAUAAUUUGCAAAUCAAUGGUUGCAAAAAAUAAACAAAAAUAUCACUCCAAAACAGUACAAAAAUGAGGAAAAAUGAAAGCAAAAGAAGUAGUAUAAAUAGGAAGUAGAAGGCAGGAGUUAAUAAUUAUAAUUAAAAUGAUAAAGGAAUAAAUAAUAAAAUGAAUAAUUUUCUUGAACAUAUUGUUACCAGUGGUGACUGAAGAAGAGGUAGACAAUAGGAAUUGACCAGCAAACAUUUAACACAUUGAAACAAUGAUAUAUCUCUCACCCAGGAAAUGAGUUCUAUAUUAUUUACAAGGUAAUGUUAUUAACUCUUCAAAAAAUAAAUAAUCUCUAGUGUAUAUACUUUCCCCCCAAGAAUAGGUGUGCUUUAUAUAAGUUUACUAUCAACAUUUGACAAGGCAAUAAAGCAAAAGGAAAAUUAUAGGUGAAUCAUUCUGAAGAACAUAAAUACAAAAAGAAUACGUGUUGACAGAAAGACCAAAUGUAAUACAGGAAUGUAAAGAUUAUCCAGUUCCAGAAUAUCUGUCAAAAAGAAAAAGAAAGAGCACAUGCUUAUCUCGACAGAUAUGGAAAAAUUAUUUUAUAAAUAUUUAUGUUUAAACAAUGGCUCUGAAAAUAUAAGGAUAUUUCUGUUAUCAGAUGAAAAGUGUCCAACAAAAUGCACAGAAAAAAGUACUUAGUGAUAAAAUUUUAAAAGCAUUUCCGUUAACAUUGUGGGAAUAUUUGCCAACAUUUGUUGCAACUAUUCAACACUGUUUGAGAGGUUAUAAACACUUACUGUGCAGAAGAAAUAAGAUUAACAAUUAAAGAGAAAGAGAAAAAAUUGUUGUUACUUGCCAAAUUUUCUAUACCAGAAAAUUCACAAUGCUACAGACAAAAUGCUACACUUAAAUAAGAACCUUCAGCUAGUUUUCUAAAUAAAAGAUUAAUAACAAAAGUUUAUUACCAUUUUUUGCAUUUGUAAUAACUAAUGUAAAAUGCUACUCAAUACCACAAAGGCAUGAACAAUCCUCUCAUUAAUUAAUAAACAAUAAAAUUUCAACUUGGAAAAAUGACUUUCUAAAAUUUAUACACAAAAAUGGGGGGGAAAACAGGCUUAUUCUAAGACAAUUUUCAAAAUGGAGAAUAAUACUGGAAGACUUGUUACAAUAGGAUAAUGAUACUUAUCUUAAAGGGAUAGUACCUAAAACAGUGUGUUUUUGGCACAAGGCUGAACAAAUAAACCAAAGAAACAGAACAAAGACUCAAGAAACCAACCCACACCUGCACAGGAAUUUGAUUUGUAACAGAGUUUAGUUGCGGAAAUUAAAAAAAUAUUGGGGAAGCACAGGUAAUUCAAUAAAUACAAGUUUUGGAACAUCAGCAUUAUCAAAGUCUACUGUAAAUUGUCCCUUCUUUGAAUCUUUAAAAUAAGUCAUUCUGUAUCUCACAAAUUAAUAGUUGGUUGUGUUUUUCACCCAUGUCUCUAUCAUCAUUCUAGGAGUUUAUUUUCUAAUAAACUGGGAUGUGUAUAGUAAAUAUAUGUUCAAGUGGAUACGGCAUCUGAAAGGGCUUUAAAGUCAGAAUAUGUGCUCAAUUUUUGGUCCUGUUUCUCACAAUUUCCCCGGGCCAUGAGUUUCUUAUUUCAAAAAUGGGAACAGAAAUAUUUGCCUUCUGUAUCGAUAGAUGUGAAGUAAAAAUGAUCAAAUGAAUGUGAAAAUAUUCUAUAAAUAUGAAACUCUACAUGUGUUAAUUCUUUGUUGCUAUAUUAUUUUCAAAGCCUAGGAUAUAAUAGAUGCGAAGCAUGAUGCAGAUAGCCAACAGGACUGGCUUCAUGGGCAUUUGACCUGUGUGGUCAACCGAGUGCGCAUGUGAGCAGAGGAGUUACAAGCAAUAUGCACAUCCCCUGUUCCUUGCCAGCCAUUUCUAUGUAGUGUUCACAGUGUCUCAUGGAUAUAGUACUCCAGGGACCCAGGAUGCAUGGGAGACUCAGAGAACUACGAGGGAGAUUUGUUAUGUAUAAGACAGUGAUAAAGAUGGAAAGGGUAUAUUUUGUCAUGAGGAAGAAAAUAUCUCUCAAGAUAAGAGGGCCCUGGAUGACUGGUUGUUUCAGUUCGGUUAAUUCCACCCCCUAAUGGAAAGGAGUGGAUUCUGGCUUGAGGAACAUGUGUGCAAACAAAGAUUAUUCUGAGGCGAAGAAAGAGAGGAAGAAGAAGAAAAGAAAUAAGGAAGGAAGUGAGAAAGAGGGAAAGUGUUUCUCCAUUCAAG
rnacentral:lncRNA from 1 species